rnacentral:rRNA from 1 species
GAUGAACGCUGGCGGCGUGCCUAAUACAUGCAAGUCGAGCGAACAGACGAGGAGCUUGCUCCUCUGACGUUAGCGGCGGACGGGUGAGUAACACGUGGAUAACCUACCUAUAAGACUGGGAUAACUUCGGGAAACCGGAGCUAAUACCGGAUAAUAUAUUGAACCGCAUGGUUCAAUAGUGAAAGACGGUUUUGCUGUCACUUAUAGAUGGAUCCGCGCCGCAUUAGCUAGUUGGUAAGGUAACAGCUUACCAAGGCAACGAUGCGUAGCCGACCUGAGAGGGUGAUCGGCCACACUGGAACUGAGACACGGUCCAGACUCCUACGGGAGGCAGCAGUAGGGAAUCUUCCGCAAUGGGCGAAAGCCUGACGGAGCAACGCCGCGUGAGUGAUGAGGUCUUCGGAUCGUAAAACUCUGUUAUUAGGGAAGAACAAAUGUGUAAGUAACUAUGCACGUCUUGACGGUACCUAAUCAGAAAGCCACGGCUAACUACGUG